GCGGCUUCAUGGCGACCUUUUUCCCGUUCAAUACGGCGUUUUGCCAGUCUUUGUGCAUCAUCUACUGCUAUCUGCCAUUGAGUUAAAGAACCAAUUUAACUGCUUACUAGUGGUGGAAAGAUGGGCGGGUCAGGUAGGGGGAUCAAACCUGCUUCUUUUUACGGGUGAGAUGCCAAAUCCGCCAACACAUAUUCUCGAGCCUGUUGCUUCUUUCAAGAGUGUUCCUCGUUGCUAUAACCUGCACAUCUCCGUUUUAUUUAUCGAAGGUAUAUCUGAUAUUAUGAUUUGAUACUUAAACGAGUUUUGAAGAGGAUAUAUGAAAUUAUCACGAAUACACAAUUUUAUAGUGAACUAGAUUGAGAGGGAUGAAUGAAACCUUGAUCCAGGUUCGGUGGAGGUCGGAUUCAUCAACACUAUUAACAACUUCUUCAACAAAGUAGUUGGUGGGACUGAAGUGUUUAUCGCGCUUGACGUUGUCUUGAAGCUUUUCCAGCUUCAUCUUUGUAUCAACUCCAUUUUGAGUCUUCAAAUUUGCUCCUAAGUCCAAGAUCGCCUCCAAGUACCCGUUUAUCCAUUCGUUCCUUGCCAUCUCAAAACCGCUACCGCUUCCUAGCGGCAGUGGUAGUGGUGGUGGUGGUGAUGGGAGGAGGAGAAGCUUUCUUGGUUUGAAACAGAUAUGUGGGAGGCCUUUGAUGCCUUAUAAAGGCCUUUUGGCAUACAAGACAAUAUUAUGCCUUCUUUUAGUUACUAAAAUUGUUUUGUGAAUACAUAAGAUUCUUUUCACUUUGCACACUUACCUUUUAGCACAGAAACUUAUUUAAAUUGAUUGUAGAAAUAUGUAAAUUAUUUUUAGAACA